rnacentral:rRNA from 1 species
GCGGUAAUACGAAGGGUGCAAGCGUUGUUCGGAAUUAUUGGGCGUAAAGGGUUCGUAGGUUGGAGAGUAAGUCAAGUGUGAAAUCCCCGAGCUUAACUUGGGACGUGCACCUGAAACUGCUUUUCUUGAAUGUUAGAGAGGGUCGUAGAAUUGCUGGUGUAGGAGUGAAAUCCGUAGAUAUCAGCAGGAAUACCAGAGGCGAAGGCGGCGACCUGGCUAAACAUUGACACUGAGGAACGAAAGCGUGGGGAGCAAACAGGAUUAGAUACCCUGUAGUCCACGCCGUAAACGAUGAUAACUAGAUGUUGGGGAGUUGACCCCCUCAGUAUCGAAGCACACGCGAUAAGUUAUCCGCCUGGGGAGUACGGCCGCAAGGCUAAAACUCAAAGGAAUUGACGGG